UUUAUCCAUCGGACCAGAUCCCAGGGAAUCAGUUUCCAAUUUAAAUUAAACCGUUUGGUUCAUUUUUGUGAAAAAUCGGUUCGGAGUCAUGGUGGCCAGUAGAAUCAGGGUAACCAACUAAAAACCAUGAUUCAUCCGGAUUAACCUAUUGAGGUUAAUCCGGAAUCGAGUCACGAUUCCGGAGGUUCGUAUAAAAGCGAUGGAUUCAAGUUGAAUCCAUUUCCACAUCAUCCUGCGAUUCUCCCGGUGAAGUCCGACCGAGGUUCAGCGACGGUGAAGCAACAGCUCGCAUCUGAGAAGAACACCUAAAACCGAGUUGAUUGAAGGUUGUAACUUCAUAUCUAGGGUUUACCCUAUUUCCAAAUCAGACGAUCGACUCCAAGGUUUGAAGAACUAGAAUCGAAGUUUGAUUUAAGAUGACAUCGAAUAUAUCCGCUUGUGAUAUUGCAAAGUGUGAGAACUGUGGGAAAGGUUGCUCAGUUUUCACUUCUAAGUCAGGGUCACAUGUUGGAAGGAAAUUUUUUAAAUGUUCAAUGAAUUGUCACUUCUUCAUGUGGGUUGACCAUCUUAAGAUGUGUGACUGUGGGAACGGUCAAUGUAAGGUCAGAACUGCGAAAACAAGUGCGAAUUAUGGUCGAUAUUUUUGGUGCUGUCCACAAUCAACUGGGGUUGAAAACAAAGGUUGUGGAAUGUUUGAAUGGAUAUCAAGUUCAAACCCAAGUUGUGAUACUUACCAGACUCCACCUAGGUCCAUAUGCUCAGAAACAUCAACUUCAUCAUCUCCUUCCCCUUCAUCAGACUAUAUCAAAGGAUACUUGAACGGUGCAAUAAAAGAAUCUGAGGGUCAUAUGAGGAUGUUGAGAGAUGUUCUUGACGUAGUCAAGAAGCUUGAUUUAAACAAAAAUGUAUGAUGAACUUUUUUGGAAUUUUUUAGAACAUACUAAAGU